rnacentral:misc_RNA from 1 species
CAGAGUUCAUGCCCUUCGGGGUAGAUCUCCCACCCGUGUAUACAUACCUCUGUUGCUUUGGCGGGCCCGCCUCGGCCACCGGCUCCGGCUGGUGAGUGCCCGCCAGAGGACCCCAAACUCUGAAUUUUAGUGUCGUCUGAGUACUAUUUGAAUAGUUA